AGAGCGAACGCUGGCGGCAUGCCUAACACAUGCAAGUCGCACGGUCGGGGGGAGACUUCCGGCAGUGGCGGACGGGUGAGUAACGCGUAGGGAUCUAUCCUUGGAUGGGGGACAACCGCGGGAAACCGCGGCUAAUACCGCAUGAUGCCUGAGGGCCAAAGCUCGCGAGAGCGUCUGGGGAGGAGCCUGCGUCCGAUUAGCUAGUUGGUGGGGUAACGGCCCACCAAGGCGACGAUCGGUAGCUGGUCUGAGAGGAUGAUCAGCCACACUGGGACUGAGACACGGCCCAGACUCCUACGGGAGGCAGCAGUGGGGAAUAUUGGACAAUGGGCGCAAGCCUGAUCCAGCAAUGCCGCGUGGGUGAAGAAGGUCUUCGGAUUGUAAAGCCUUUCGGCGGGACGAUGAUGACGGUACCGCAGAAGAAGCCCCGGACUAACUUCGUGCCAGCAGCCGC
rnacentral:rRNA from 1 species